rnacentral:lncRNA from 1 species
UAUAUUUGUUACUGGAUCCUCAAGUCCAUUUCUGCUGCAUAGCUGGAUAGGUAUGUUUGGUAUUCUUUUAUUUUUUUUUUGUUUUUUUUUUUUUUUUUUUUUUUUUUUUUUUUUUUCCAAAAAAAAAAAAAAACCAACAACAUAAAUAAUUCAGAACACGUGCUUUAUAUCAACUGUUUCCCUGAUACUAUUUUAUGUCUAUAAACAGGGCAGAGGCAAACCCUAUCCAAACAAGGAAGGGGAGGAAGAUGCAUUGCAAAAUUGUGGAUGGGUCACAUGAGUCAAAAAUACAUGCAUAGAUAUAUUUUUGUCUGGAAGGCCCAGCUCAGAAGUGUGAUGCCUGCAUUUUAGUGCUUUGCACAGUAAGUUGCUUCCCAGAAAAAGAGAACAUUAAAAACACGAUCAGCAAAAGCCUGGUAAAAGUUGUAACCAGCUCUGACUGUCCAUGGUAUGACAGCCAACAAAUAUCACCUGCUGAUGAUUUACAGAUUCCUGGGAGAUGUGGUGUUGAGUCUCAAAGAACUGGAACAAGAACAACUCACUCAACGUGCUUCUCAGGAAACAAUGCAGGAAGGCAGUUUUGGAUCCCAGCCACAAUACUUCUGCAACCUGGUUUGAAUGGGCCUGACGGGAUGCCAUAAUGGAACCUACACUGAACAAGGUACGCGGAAAGCUGUCUGACAUGGGCUCUAUUUCAAAGAAAAAAUACAGUUUCCAUCCAGGCU